rnacentral:rRNA from 1 species
UACGGGGGGGGCAAGCGUUGUUCGGAAUUACUGGGCGUAAAGGGCCAGUAGGCGGCCAACUAAGUCGGAUGUGAAAUCCCCAAGCUUAACUUGGGAACUGCAUCCGAUACUGGAUGGCUUGAAUCCGGGAGAGGGAUGCAGAAUUCCAGGUGUAGCGGUGAAAUGCGUAGAUAUCUGGAGGAAUACCGGUGGCGAAGGCGGCAUCCUGGACCGGCAUUGACGCUGAGGAGCGAAAGCUAGGGGAGCAAACGGG